AUACCCUAAUGUCUACAAAUUUAUAUGAACUGAAUAUCAUUAUAAUAUCUUACUUCGUUUCAAAAGUAUACUAUAUAAUAUAAAGGUUCGUAAGUGCACGUUUCUACGACGAAGUGGUGUCGAGUAGUUGGCAAAUAACGUCCGGGAUGACGCAGAGUGCAAAGGGUUAAGUUUCGUUCGAGUAUUGAGACUAGUCUCGACUUAAUUCGAAUGGAGCGUGGCAAAUGAAGAAACAAAUUCGCGCUACCUGUAAGUGUUUAACUAGAUGAGCGAUUUCAAGGCCAACGAGUCUGGUGUUAGCCGUGGCCUGGGUGUAGAGAGGCAGACUGCCUCCUGCCCAGUCGACAAUGAUGACAUUGUAGUCGUCGUGCCUGAGCAACUCAUUCCUCAUUUCCUACGGUUAAUGAACAUUCAGGUUAGAAAAUGAUGCCCGCAUCGAGCGUUCGAUCGAUCUUUACGCAAACAACAUUCAAAUCAACGGCAAACGAAUCUUGCUUAACAUAGUGGAUUCGCCUAACUCGAAGACAUUACAUUGCUCUUGAGCUGCUUGUUCUGUGGAAAAAUUGGCGGUGCUUAAAAUUAUGUGAUCAGUUCGAUUCGUGGCUGAUUGAAAACCGAAGGCCGAUAGUUCGAUUUUGGCAAACCGAUCCAGCGUCAAUCAAUUAAAUCAAUUUCGGCGCUGAUAACUGAAUCAUUGAACGAUCGUUAAAUUGACUUGGCGAUGCUUCUCGGGCUUACCUUGACCCAAUUACUAAGGGGCGUGUCUAUAAAACCAUGAAUGAUGAAUUUUGUCUUUCGUUUCGGAUUGAAGUAGGAGCGUUUGAUGGACUUAUCUUUAGCGACUAUCAGCACCUGACCCUGAAACAUCAGAAUUUAAUUAAACCAAAUGUAACGGCGACCGACGAUUCUACUCACCUCCAAGGGAUUUUCUUUCGUGUAUAAAAUGAAUCUCGUAUUGAUAACCUCCCGCGGCAGAGGGAAGACGUUCAGGGGCCUGUGGAUGAGGUGGUACCAGCUCCUGGUUAUGUUCAAACAGCCUAGCUCAUCGUAGCAACGUGUUUCGUUCUCGACUGUUCACACCACAUCCAGAUUAUUGUAAACAGCGUAUCAAUUAUAAUAACUUUUGGAAUAAUUACAUGGUAACCAUGGUAUGUUGACCUCGAUUCGAUCGCUACGUGCCCACUGCCAUGGGUCCAGGAUUCCGGCGUAGCAGAUGACAGGAGCCAAUGCGACGAGUAGCAAAAUCGACGCUCCUUCGCCCUCUGUGGCUCUCAGCUUCUUCCUCCUCAUCCUGCAAUCGGAUUAAGCCGGGUAUAAUUAAUAUCGUAAAUAAUUCAAGAAUAAUUGAUCCAAAUUCGAAGAGAAAUUGUUGUCGAUUGUUUCACGACCAAGGAAGAAGGGCGGGUAAAUGGGCCGCAUACCGCAUCUUCAUUUUCCUACAAAGCGAGCUAGCGAUGUCUGACUUUCGCUUCGAUUGAACAACUCGCUAGUUCCCACGCUAAUCGUAAAAUCAUGCGGGAGUUUUAACGAACUGCGAGGACGACGAAACAAACGGAUAUCAAAACGUCGAUCAAAACGCGGCGGCUCGAUGAAAUCACUUUAACUCAACACUGGUUACCGGUGCAUCGUUGUAACUUAGUUGAACAGUUGGCCUAAUGAAAGAUUGGCCUGGAAGAGCGAUCGGUUUUCGCGGAACGAUACGACUGUCGAGCUGAAGGUACACCACUGUUGGAGAUCGUCUCACGUAACAGUGAUCAGUAUACUAAAUGGUCAGAAGUGUGAUGGUCUUGUAAAAAAGAGUUGCUAUUUCUUCUGGAAGGAGAGGAAUGAUGGCCUUCGAGGAUAUGACAACCUUGUCCCAGGCGUCCUCUUAAUCCCUGGAAUAUUCAAGGCCAUUCAGAUAAUUCUUUCGUCACUAUUUGAUUGGAUGGAUCGCCGAAGGUUUUAGAUUUGACGAUAUCAGUACCAAAGCAACGAAAGAACCGGUCAGCACGUGUUCGUCCUCGUUUGAAGUACUCGUGUAAUUCUUUGAAACAUUCUAUAUACCGCGACUUUCGAGAUUGAUAUUAAUUAAGAAACUCUGUUCGACCGGACGGAUUCAAACUCGCGUCGCGCCGGGAAAAUCAUCGUUGUGGAAAUAUACUUUCUACUGCACAACGUGAAACAUUAAGGCGCUAUCAUUGCGCGGAUUCCGCAGUGUGUACGGUCUGAAAAAUGCGGAAUAAAGAGGAAUGCGUAGAAAAAGGUAACGGUAACCUGGGAACCUGUAUUACGGUGACGUAUAAGGUCGGCGUUCGCGUGGAAUGUCGCACGAUACCCUGUUCGUCUGCAUUUCUCAUCAGCAGCUGCGGCGAGGACACGGUGCUACAUCGUGUUAACUGUGCUCAUCAAUUUCAACUCAUUCCCAUUCGCAACGCUCUAAUCUUACUGGCUAUAAUCGCUCAUAAAUUCUUUCGCCAACGAAUCACCGUUUUCUUCUUUCACUACUGGAUCAGAUGAAACCUAAACGAUACUUGAGAGUCCUAAACUCGAAGCGACGCGGAUAAACCGAAGAAAACUCGGUCAAACUCGAGACAAUUUAAUAAAACUCAAGAGAACCGAGUCUAACUCGAGCCAACUUGGUCAUACUCAACAGUACUUAGUCAAAUUGAAGACAACUCGGUCGAAUUCAUCACAACUCAGGUAAACUAGAGGCAACUCGAUCAAAUUGGGUGCAACUCGGCCAAACUGAUGAUUAUUCAGUUAAGUUUUGGACAAGUCAGUCAAAUUUAUUCAAACUGAUGAUAAUUCAGUUAUAUUCAGGACAAUUCAGUUAAGCUCAGUUUACUUAAACUUUGGCUUAAACUGCGUCAAACUGAAGACAACUUGUACAAACUCAAUACAACUCGGUCAAACCCCGUAAAAAAUCUGAAAACAACUCGUUAAAAUUCGAGUCGACUGAACUUGAUCCAUUUGUCAGCGGAUAUUACAUUGAAUAUCGCCGUUCUCGCGUAGUCCCAAUUUCGCCACGCGUUUCCAAACACAGAGCGGCGACGUAACAGCCAGACCCUGGUGUGCCGUGUUGCGUAAUUCUAGAUCGGUGUCACCUAAAAACGCAGAGAACCCGCUAACUUACACCCAUCGGCGGUGUUUACCGUCCCGGCCACCCCGUUACGUAAAACCGGACCCAAGUUGUUGUUGUGCGGCGCCUGGAGAUCGGCUUUUCGAAAAUGCUUUCAUUACCGCUGGAAAGCGUAUCCUCGGGACGGUGAAGAAGGGAGAGAGGCCAGGAGAGACCGGAUGAUGGAAGAGGCCGCAGGAUGGGCCCCGAAAAGACCCCGAUCUCUGCCCACUCCGCUCGCAUUUCACCCGUGGCUGCGGGUAUUAAAUAAUUAUUUCGAAAGCGAGAGUGUAACCGCGGCGCCAGCGUUCGCAAGCGAUUCGCAAAUUCGUCUUCUCUUUGAAACUGCAAGUCCUCGCUUUUCAUCGUUGCAUUCCCCGUGCCGCCGGAUGUUCUUAUCUUUUUAAUUAAUUUUAUAACGAUGUGAAUGUCUGGACUGUGGCUGCGAUACUAUCGGAUUAUCGUUUCCGUUUCUUGAGCAAGCCGAAUUUUACGUUUACGCUCGUUCCCAUGAUUUAAAAAAGAAAAGCUAAAGGUAACUGCUGUGUAUUUCUGUACAAGAAUAAUAAAAUUGCAUUUAGUUAUUGCUAUUUUUUUAUAAUGUAUGUAUGAAUGAAGAUAUUGAUUAAAUCAUUUUCUAUGAAAGAGCCUUUAUUGUUCCGACAAUUAA